rnacentral:rRNA from 1 species
GACGAACGCUGGCGGCGUGCCUAACACAUGCAAGUCGAACGGGACCGGGGGCAACUUCGGUUCAGUGGCGGACGGGUGCGUAACACGUGAGGAACAUGACCUUCGGCGGGGGAUAGCCGGCCCAACGGCCGGGUAAUACCGCGUACGACCUUUCGGGGACAUCCCUGGAUGGUGAAAGCAGCAAUGCGCCGAUGGAGUGCCUCGCGGCCUAUCAGCUAGUUGGUGGGGUAACGGCCUACCAAGGCGACGACGGGUAGCUGGUCUGAGAGGAUGGCCAGCCACAUUGGGACUGAGACACGGCCCAGACUCCUACGGGAGGCAGCAGUGGGGAAUAUUGCGCAAUGGACGAAAGUCUGACGCAGCGACGCCGCGUGUGGGAUGAAGGUCUUCGGAUUGUAAACCACUGUCGGGAGGGACGAAUACGCCGCAAGGCGGGUGACGGUACCUCCAAAGGAAGCACCGGCUAACUCCGUGCCAGCCGCCGCGGUAAGAC